rnacentral:lncRNA from 1 species
UGUCAAAUAGUCAACUGUUAAACGGCCGACUGCCAAAUAUAUAAUCACAAUACUAUAAUCGUGGAUAAUAACUACAUGCCAUGAUCGUUAGUGGAUAUAAAUUGUCCACUAACUUUAUGAUUAUGGCCCGAUAAUCAGGAUAACUACUCCUUAAUAAUAUAAAAAGUGAGACCACAUGCUCGACGAUUACAUCCGAAUCAUCUAUAAAGGAG